GGAGUGAGGGUGUGUGGGGGAGGUCCUCCCAUACACACACCCUCACUCCCAUCCAUACACUCACCCUCUCUCACACACCCAACCUCCCACCUUUAAUGUGUGUGGAUGGGACUAAGGUUUUCUCAUUUCUUUCAGAUUGUGCGCCUCCGAGGUGAACGUCUGACUGAAGUGAACGUGUGGCUGGUCGAGAACUCCUCCAAACAGGUAAAGUACUUAUGACAAUAUAUAAUGUCUAUAUGCAAGUAUUUAUGAAUGUUAUGUUUUAAAGUUUUUUGUAUUCCAGGUUUGUUUGUGUGGCUGACUGGACCUACUACAAGGUGCUUCUUGGAGGUAAUCAAGAUACAUCAGUGGUGGUGAGGCCGUCACAUUACCAGCGGUUGUGGAUUUCUCAAUUCAACCUUUAUAUUGCAGACUCCACAUAAGGUAAAACACUUCCAUUCAGCAAUUGGUGUGCAGUGUCCAGAUUGUCAACAUUUAGUUCAGUAUGAUGUUACUUCUGGCCAGCUUAACCUGAGGAGAAAGUCAGUACAGUACACGAUUAGAUUUUGAAAAGGAAACUGCAAAAUCUCAUGUUCUCCCGACC
rnacentral:lncRNA from 1 species